rnacentral:rRNA from 1 species
UACGUAGGGUGCAAGCGUUGUCCGGAAUUAUUGGGCGUAAAGAGCUCGUAGGCGGUCUGUCGCGUCUGCUGUGAAAACUCGGGGCUUAACCCCGGGCCUGCAGUGGGUACGGGCAGACUAGAGUGCGGUAGGGGAGACUGGAAUUCCUGGUGUAGCGGUGAAAUGCGCAGAUAUCAGGAGGAACACCGGUGGCGAAGGCGGGUCUCUGGGUAGUAACUGACGCUGAGGAACGAAAGCGUGGGUAGCGAACAGG